AACAUGAGGUGCUUGCACUUUGAUGACGAGUGGCGCACGGGUGCGUAACGCGUAUAGAACCUACCCUGUACAGGGGGAUAGCCCAGAGAAAUUUGGAUUAAUACCCCGUGGUAACUAUAAAUGGCAUCAUUUAUAGUUUAAAGUUUUCGGACGGUACAGGAUGGCUAUGCGUCCUAUUAGUUAGAUGGUGAGGUAACGGCUCACCAUGGCAUCGAUAGGUAGGGGCCCUGAGAGGGGGAUCCCCCACACUGGUACUGAGACACGGACCAGACUCCUACGGGAGGCAGCAGUGAGGAAUAUUGGACAAUGGGCGAAAGCCUGAUCCAGCCAUGCCGCGUGCAGGAAGACGGCCCUAUGGGUUGUAAACUGCUUUUAUACGGGAAGAAUAAGGGACACGUGUGUCCUGGUGACGGUACCGUAAGAAUAAGGACCGGCUAACUCCGUGCCAGCAGCCGCGGUAAUACGGAGGGUCCGAGCGUUAUCCGGAAUUAUUGGGUUUAAAGGGUCCGCAGGCGGGCAAUUAAGUCAGGGGUGAAAUGGUGCGGCUCAACCGUAGCACUGCCCUUGAUACUGGUUGUCUUGAGUCAUAGUGAAGUGGCCGGAAUAUGUAGUGUAGCGGUGAAAUGCAUAGAUAUUACAUAGAACACCGAUUGCGAAGGCAGGUCACUAACUAUCGACUGACGCUGAUGGACGAAAGCGUGGGGAGCGAACGGGAUUAGAUACCCCGGUAGUCCACGCCGUAAACGAUGGAUACUAGCUGUCCGCUGCCUUGAGCAGUGGGCGGCCCAGCGAAAGUGAUAAGUAUCCCCACCUGGGGAGUACGUUCGCAAGAAUGAAACUCAAAGGAAUUGACGGGGGCCCGCACAAGCGGUGGAGCAUGUGGUUUAAUUCGAUGAUACGCGAGGAACCUUACCAGGGCUUAAAUGCAUAAUGACAGGUCUAGAGAUAGACUUUUCUUCGGACAUUUUGCAAGGUGCUGCAUGGUUGUC
rnacentral:rRNA from 1 species